rnacentral:rRNA from 1 species
AGCGAACGUUUGCGGCGGGCCUAACACAUGCAAGUCGAACGGGCAGUCCCUUCGGGGGCUGUCAGUGGCGCACGGGUGCGUAACACGUAGGUAAUCAACCCUCGGGUUCGGGAUAACACUUCGAAAGGGGUGCUAAUACCGGAUGCGACGAGCGUCUCCUCGGAGAUGCACGGGAAAGAUCCGCAAGGGUCGCCCGAGGACGAGCCUACGGCCCAUCAGCUUGUUGGUGAGGUAAUGGCUCACCAAGGCUAAGACGGGUAGCUGGUCUGAGAGGAUGAUCAGUCACACUGGAACUGAGACACGGUCCAGACUCCUACGGGAGGCAGCAGUGGGGAAUAUUGCGCAAUGGGCGAAAGACCUGACGCAGCCACGCCGCGUGAGCGAUGAAGGCCUCGUCGUAG